AGAGCCAGGACUGGUACACAGAGAAACCUUGUCUCAAAAAACAAAAUAAUAAAGUAAUAAAAUAAAAUAGCCUUUAUCUCUCCUUUGACAAUGUCAUACAUGUAUAUAAGGUAUCCUGACUAUAUCCUCCCUAAUUCCCCUCUCUGCCUCCCCCCACAUAUACCCCAACAUGGGGUGGGGAUCCCCCUUCCACAUCCUCUUGAUUUGGGUAACCACUGAGUUCAGAUAGUGCUGCCUGCUGGAAUGUUGGUUUCAUCUUGUGCAGUAACCACACUGCAGUGAGUUCCUGAGGGCAAUGGCCAUGCCGUGUCCAGAAGACAGCCUUUCACAGCCCUUCUCCCAUCCUCUGGCUCUUCCAUUCUUCCUAACCCAGCUUCUGAGAUGCUCCUGAGCCUGUGAUAAGGGUUACAAAUAUCUCAUCUAGGGCUGAGCACUCAAUAUUCUUGGCACUCUGAUCAGUAAUGGAGUGCUUGCUUCAUGUACCGCCGCCCACUUCAGAGAGAAAUGUCUGUAGUCACACUGAACACACAUUGAGAGCAGCACUGAUCUACAGGCAUAAAUAUAAAUAUUUAGCUACCACACUUAAUAUGAUUUAUUUGAUCCUAAAUUGACUUUGGACAUCUUCCUUUAAUUUUUUAUGGUAUUACCUUUUUAAGAAUUCAGAAACUACCCACAUGGUUCCUUUUAUCAGUAUUCUCUGGGCUAGGGAAAUCUUAACUUUUAAGUAUUGGUAACACUCUCGUCAAUUUCAUGAGCGCCAUGGCUGCAGUCUGUGCAGUCUGUCCCUUGGAAGAUGUCAGUAAGUGUUUCUUUAUAAUUAAGAUUUCCUUUCAAUCAUCAGUCCCUACAGAUAGACCACAUACAUUGUCUUCCUCCUUUGAUGAUGCAAGGCUCGCUCAUUAACCCUGGUGAAAUGCCAACUCCUUUACCUAUGGCCCAUUUUUUCUGUCCCUGUUCUGUUUUCCAAGUUGUCCUGUGCAACUGUUCCAUAUUGAACUCACCCUAUCCUAAUUGUGACACUGUAGACUUUUCCCCUAUCUUUCAUUUGUCUAUACAUUUUAUAUUUUAAUAACUAUAUUUUCCACAUGAGGUUUUAUGAUUCUUAAACAUCUAUGAAUUCUGCUUUCUACCAAUACAAAAGUAAAAAUAUAAACAAACAAAAACAACAACAACAAAAACCUUGAAAUUUAACUGCUUAAACUCUGAUUUAAUAUGAACACUUUACUUUCUAGGUAGUAUUUUUCAUUUAUCCAAAUAUGUCUUUAUCUUACAAGUUUGUUUUUCUUAAUUUAUACAAGCUGCUCCUAUAUAGCCAAUAUCAACUUCCUCUCUUGGUCUCCUGAGCUCUGACAUUAUAGAUAUAUGCCACUGUGCCUGACUAGUUUUGUUUUGUUUGUUUGUUUGUUUGGUUUUGUUUGUUUUGUUUUUAACUUUUCCAUACAUUUCUUUUUUAGUUUAAAAGUUACUAAAGCUAUUUUCCCAGUUGUCUUAGUUUUGUCUCCUGUUGUAAAAACAGCCUAACAAAGGCACUUUAGAAAGAAAGACUUUGUUUUAGUUCACAUUCCAUGCUGCAGUUCAUCACUAUGGGAAAGGCAAGACACAAGAAUUUGAAGCGGCUAGUAACAUCCACAGUCAAGAACAGAGAGAAGGAAUGC
rnacentral:lncRNA from 1 species